AUUGAACGCUGGCGGCAUGCUUUACACAUGCAAGUCGAACGGCAGCGCGGGCUUUGGCCUGGCGGCGAGUGGCGAACGGGUGAGUAAUACAUCGGAGCGUGCCCAGUAGUGGGGGAUAGCUCGGCGAAAGCCGGAUUAAUACCGCAUACGACCUGAGGGUGAAAGCGGGGGAUCUUCGGACCUCGCGCUAUUGGAGCGGCCGAUGGCAGAUUAGCUAGUUGGUGGGGUAAAGGCCUACCAAGGCGACGAUCUGUAGCUGGUCUGAGAGGACGACCAGCCACACUGGGACUGAGACACGGCCCAGACUCCUACGGGAGGCAGCAGUGGGGAAUUUUGGACAAUGGGCGAAAGCCUGAUCCAGCAAUGCCGCGUGUGUGAUGAAGGCCUUCGGGUUGUAAAGCACUUUUGGCGGGAACGAAAAGGACUGUGCCAAUACCACGGUUCGAUGACGGUACCCGCAGAAUAAGCACCGGCUAACUACGUG
rnacentral:rRNA from 1 species